CGGGAUGUAGCACAGUUGGUAGUGUACCUGGUUUGGGACCAGGUGGUCGCAGGUUCGAGUCCUGUCAUCCCGACAA
rnacentral:tRNA from 1 species